UACGGAGGGUACAAGCGUUAUCCGGAUUUACUGGGUUUAAAGGGUGCGUAGGUGGGUAAGUAAGUCAGUGGUGAAAUCUUCGAGCUUAACUCGGAAACUGCCAUUGAUACUAUUUAUCUUGAAUACUUUGGAGGUAAGCGGAAUAUGUCAUGUAGCGGUGAAAUGCUUAGAUAUGACAUAGAACACCAAUUGCGAAGGCAGCUUACUACACAGUUAUUGACACUGAGGCACGAAAGCGUGGGGAUCAAACAGG
rnacentral:rRNA from 1 species